UGCAUUUUGCUAUGUAUAAUAGCAAAUACACGACAUCCUUCCAAGAAUACAACACAGAACGCAUAGUCAGCCAACAUGCAUCCUGUUACCCUGCUGUACUCUUGACUUCACUGACAUCUUGGUUUUCUCUGCUGUUAGGCAUUGUGCAUAAGAAAGAAGACCUCGCUUUCUUUUCUGAAAGUGGGAUCCAAAGUAUCUUGUACUUCUUGUCAAACCAACAUGGGGGCUUUGCCUACUAAGAAAGGGUGCCAUUUAUACUGCUUUAUGUAUCUUAAAAUUGAGGAUUUUUCUUUUGCCUUUGAAAGGUUGGGAAAUACAAAAAAAAUGCAUGCAAAUGUAAAACUCGUAUAUCAUCUCACCAUGCCAAGCCCCCCUCACCUUGUCUUUCCAGUUUAUUCUCUCUCAACUCUAUAAGUGAGUGUAUAAUUAUCUCACUAAUAAUACUAUAUAACUUGUGUGUGCUGAUUUUUAUUUAACAUUACAUCAAUAAGCAUUUUCUCUUGCCAUGAUAUAGCCUCCAAAUUUAUGAUUCUCUUAGAAGGUUGUAUAAUAUUCCUUCUUAUAAUUUGUCCAACUAUUUUUCUUCUUUCGGGGGAUUCAAGUUGUGUUUAACUUUUAGCUAUUUAAAAUAACUUUUAAAAGUCUAUUUCAAAAAUCGAUUAUAACUGACAUUAUUUGCAGCAAAGCGGAACAGUUGACAUAAACUCAAUAUGGUAAACAAUAUACUGUGCUGUACUGGAACACUGUACUGGAGGAGGGUCAAAUGAUAAGAUUGCCAGCCUCAGCUACAACCCUCUUGUGAUGCAAGCGGCUGCAGACGGUGCUGUCUGCACAUGAGGUAAACCUCAGCCCCGCUUCCUUGGCUACAGCAGAUUGAACUGAGAAUUGACGCCUGACCCAAAGGCAACCAUUCGUGGAAUAUCCAAGUAGCCAAUGAAAUGGGCUGAUGCAAGAGCUCCGCCCCCGGUGGUCAGUUUCCUAGACGAUGACUGGCCAGUGGAACAGAACCUCUUUCACGCAAUUAGAAUUUGGGACCUGCUGGGUGUGGGAGAGGGGGAAGUAAUGAAACGGUAGGGUGGAAAUGGGCAGACACCCUGAGAACCGUCAGAAAGCCCUGUCCACAUGGCGCUGGGAGCCAUGACAAAACAGGAACAGCGGCGUGGAGGAAAAGAAGUGCAGAGAGGGUUUGGCAGCGUGAGCAGAGAAAAGCAGAGGCAGAGCGCAGCUGAGUCACUAUACUGGCAGAGCAUUAGAGAGGGAGCAACAGAUGCCUACUGCUGAAGCAAUGUCAAGAAAAACAGGUGGCUGGAGGUAUACUGUGUCCUGAACGACAUUCCCAGCUCCGCCAGGCAGCUGUUAAAACUGCUUCCUGCUCUUCCCCACUUCCUCCGGUAUCCUUGCAAUGAACCACGUUAACCCGAGUCACCAGAGCACAUCUCUCUUCCUGGCAACCUGAAAAAGCCUGAUCAAUGCCAUGUAAUAUUCAUAUCUCUAUUAUGGCACGUAUCAGGUGGCGUUAUGAUGAUUUGUUUUUAUGAUUCUCCCUGACUACACUCCUUAAGGUCAAGAACUGUGUUCAGUGCCUUCUUAAAACAUCCUCAGCAACUGGAUAGUAUACCAGCACAUAGGAGGUGCUGGCGAAUCGUUGGAUGAAUGACUGGAGAAAAGUGUGAGUGUGCAUGUGGCCAAAAGAGCCAGGGAAGUUCAGUUAGCAUUCCUCUAAAGGAGUUUAUCCUCACAAACAUUUUAUGAGGGAGAUAAAGCAGGCGUCGUUAAUGUCCUGGUGGGGAAGAGAAAGCUCAAAAUGACACAGUACCUUUCCUGGGAGCACAUAUUUCGAGACGAUCAACGUGAACUAAACUUAUUGUGGCUAUCAUUUCAUAUGUCAAUCAAAUCAUUACGCCAUACACCUUGACCUUAUACAGUGCUGUAUGUCUAUUCUAUACCAAUAAAACAAAAAAAAAAACCCAACCUAACAAAAUAUUGAUUUUUACCUUUU